rnacentral:rRNA from 1 species
UACGGGGGGAGCAAGCGUUGUUCGGAUUUACUGGGCGUAAAGGGCGCGUAGGCGGCCUCCGCAAGUCAGUUGUGAAAUCUCCGAGCUUAACCCGGAAAGGUCAAUCGAUACUGCAGGGCUAGAGUGCGGAAGGGGCAACUGGAAUUCUCGGUGUAGCGGUGAAAUGCGUAGAUAUCGAGAGGAACACCUGCGGCGAAGGCGGGUUGCUGGGCCGACACUGACGCUGAAGUGCGAAAGCUAGGGGAGCGAACGGG